rnacentral:rRNA from 1 species
AGUGAACGCUGGCGGCAGGCCUAAUACAUGCAAGUCGAACGGCAGCACAGCAGAGCUUGCUCUGUGGGUGGCGAGUGGCGGACGGGUGAGGAAUACGUGGGAAUCUGCCCAGUCGUGGGGAUAACGUAGGGAAACUUACGCUAAUACCGCAUGCGCCCUUCGGGGAAAGCCGGGGACCUUCGGGCCUGGCGCGAUUGGAUGAGCCCACGUCGGAUUAGCUAGUUGGCGGGGUAAAGGCCCACCAAGGCGACGAUCCGUAGCUGGUCUGAGAGGAUGAUCAGCCACACUGGAACUGAGACACGGUCCAGACUCCUACGGGAGGCAGCAGUAGGGAAUAUUGGACAAUGGGCGCAAGCCUGAUCCAGCCAUGCCGCGUGAGUGAAGAAGGCCCUCGGGUUGUAAAGCUCUUUGUCCGGAAAGAAAGCGCCGGGUUAAUACCCUGGUGUCCUGACGGUACCGGAAGAAUAAGCACCGGCUAACUUCGUGCCAGCAGCCGCGGUAAU